GGUGGGAUAGCUCAUUCGGUUAAAGCACCGCAUUGCAAAGCAGAUGUGUCUAUCACAGCGUGGGUUCGAGCCCUGGUCGUACCA